ACUUUCAACAACGGAUCUCUUGGUUCUGGCAUCGAUGAAAAACGCAGCAAAAUGCGAUAAGUAAUGUGAAUUGCAGAAUUCAGUGAAUCAUCGAAUCUUUGAACGCACAUUGCGCCCGCCAGUAUUCUGGCGGGCAUGCCUGUUCGAGCGUCAUUUC
rnacentral:rRNA from 1 species